rnacentral:tRNA from 1 species
GUGAGCGUAGCUCAACGGGUAGAGCGCUUGACUGUGGCUCAAGUGGUUGGGGGUUCAAGUCCCCUCGCUCACC